rnacentral:rRNA from 1 species
GAUGAACGCUGGCGGCGUGCCUAAUACAUGCAAGUCGAGCGAACAGAUGAGGAGCUUGCUCCUCUGACGUUAGCGGCGGACGGGUGAGUAACACGUGGAUAACCUACCUAUAAGACUGGGAUAACUUCGGGAAACCGGAGCUAAUACCGGAUAAUAUAUUGAACCGCAUGGUUCAAUAGUGAAAGACGGUUUUGCUGUCACUUAUAGAUGGAUCCGCGCCGCAUUAGCUAGUUGGUAAGGUAACGGCUUACCAGGGCAACGAUGCGUAGCCGACCUGAGAGGGUGAUCGGCCACACUGGAACUGAGACACGGUCCAGACUCCUACGGGAGGCAGCAGUGGGGAAUCUUAGACAAUGGGGGCAACCCUGAUCUAGCCAUGCCGCGUGAGUGAUGAAGGCCUUAGGGUUGUAAAGCUCUUUCAGCUGGGAAGAUAAUGACGGUACCAGCAGAAGAAGCCCCGGCUAACUCCGUG